AUUGGAAUUGAUAUCAUAAAUAUCAUUAAUAUAGAUGUUAAAAAGAAGAGGGGCCAGAUGGGAACCUUGAGGAACCCCGGAAAUAAAAAGGAUAUAAGCCAAGAAAAGAAAGGAUCGCGGAGACCAAUUUGAAACAACUUAUUGGCGAGUAUACUAUGAUCAAUCUUGUCAAAGGCUUUGGCGAAAUCUGAGAUUAGAUGCAGUAGAUCUACCAGACAUAAAACCAUGCUGUUCAUCAAUAAUGAAAUUUUUAAAGAGUGGACUAAUUUUCUUAUAAAUAAUACCUUCAAAUAUUUUGGGAAUUAUAGAUAUUAUAGAGACAGGUCGAUAAUUUAUUAUAUGGUUAAUAUUUCCACUUUUAAAAACAGGGGAGACAUAAGAUAUUUUCCAUUUAUCUGGAAAGACUCCUAUGGAGAGAGAUCGAUUGAAUAAUAUCAGUAAGGGAGAUGACAAAACAAAUUUACAUUGCAUAAAAAAUAUAUUAGAAAUUUUAUCAGGACCAGGACAAGUUUUAUAAGUUAUUUCAUUAAGCGCAUUAUAAACAUCACUGAGAGUUAGCGUGCACGAAUUAAGAUCAACAGAAGGAAAAUUUGUAUUGUUGGAAUAUGAAUUAGUUUGCAAGACUGACGGUAUAUUUAAAGUAUUGGAGAAAAAUUGAGCAAAACAAUUUGUAAUAUCAUCGCCACCGUAAAUAUUGUAACUAUUAUAAUACAUACAAUUUGGAAGUGAGUAAGUAGAGCGUUUGUUAUUAACA